rnacentral:lncRNA from 1 species
UUGAGGAGCUUCUUGACGAGCGCGUCGGCGGAGACGUUGCCGAUGACCACCACCUUAUGCUGCUGCAUGUCGAUGUCCGUCUUGUACACCCCUGUGAAUGAGGAGCAUCAUGGCAUCAUGCGUCAGUGGCUCAGUGCAGCAAAUAUUUCAGACAAACAACAUUGUAGCAACAAGCGAAAAUGAAUUUGUAGUAAAUUCGCAACAUGUAGAAUAUAGUUUUGGGUGAAAAUUCCGCAGGGGGUUUAACAGGGGAGGAGUGGAAAUGGAGAUGGACAAGAGAGCUAGUGCAAGAAGCACUCUGAGUCUGAGCUCAAACCUUCUGUUCAGUGCAAGAAACAGGGGAACCUUUCGUGAACACAAAUGGCUUAGCACUUCUGAUCUCAGAAACAUAUACGAUUAAAAAACGCCAAAUACAAAGAAGAAAACGAAGAAAAGACUGGUUCAAGCUUAUCUUCAUUUUUAAAGUAUUUCAAAUCUGAUUCAGAGAAAAAGACUGCUAAGG